GCGGCGCUGAUGUUUCUAGACGCGUGUUAGACUUCUGAUACGGAUGAAGUAAACCGAUGUCUGAGC
ensembl:snoRNA SNORD104 small nucleolar RNA, C/D box 104